UACGGAGGGUGCAAGCGUUGCUCGGAAUUAUUGGGCGUAAAGGGUAGGUAGGUGGUCUCAUUUGUCUGGGGUGAAAUCCUUGGGCUUAACUCAAGAAGUGCCCCAGAAACGGUGAGACUAGAGUCCUGGAGAGGGUCGUGGAAUUCCCGGUGUAGCGGUGAAAUGCGUAGAGAUCGGGAGGAACACCAGAGGCGAAGGCGGCGACCUGGACAGGUACUGACACUCAACUACGAAAGCGUGGGGAGCAAACAGG
rnacentral:rRNA from 1 species